GAUGGAAAAGCUUUUAAAAUGAUAGAGUCAGGACCUUUGAGUCCUGGCUGGUCAGCACAGGCAUGUGAAUUAUAUGCUGUAUUAAAGGCUUUACAGUUGUUGAAAGGAAAGGUAGGAACUAUAUAUACAGAUUCUAGAUAUGCUUUGGAGUGGUGCAUAUUUUUGGAAAAAUCUGGGAGGAAAGAGGUUUAAUUAAUUCCCAGGGAAAAAGUCUGGUGCAUCAGGAAUUGAUAUUACAAAUAUUACAAGCUGUACGGGGGCCAGCCGAAAUAGCAGUAGUACACCUAAAAGGACACCAGAGAGGGCUAAGCCCCCUCAUAAGAGGAAAUAACCUUGCUGAUCAAGAGGCAAAAAGAGCAGCUUUGUUAACAUUGCAUUUAGAUG